UAUGGGUUCUCCAGUCAUGACCUCCCUGCCAGGGAUCCUGUCCACAUGUCCAAGGCAGGGGAUCUUCAGCCUCUGACUGAGCAGAAGGCGAGGAAACUGGUGCCCAAAGCGGUUAAGUGAGUUGCUCAAGGCCACACAUGCCUCUUCCCUUGUCAUUUGUGGACAAGACCCAUCCUACAUCUGUGCAUGGAAGCGGUGGCCUAUGCACUUGAGUUUGGGACUUUAAACCCACAUAGGGAAACGUGCAAGGAUUCCACACCAAGGACACAUCUGGCCAGAGUGACCCCAACCAAAGCAGCCAAUUUCCCACAUAUCGUAAGCAGACAAGGUGAGAUGGUGUGGGAAGGGGGAACCAGGAA